AGUCUCUUCCUUGGGCUGCGCAGGGUAAAGCUCCCCUGCCAGCUGGUAGCAGAGACUCAGAGCACCAACUGGAGGAUGAUCGUCGUGGCUGCCAGAAGCGUCUGUCUGCCAUGUUUUCCUACCUCUGACACGG
rnacentral:snoRNA from 1 species